GACAGAGGCCCCAAGCGUUAGGCGGAAUCACUGGGCUUAAAGCGUGUGUAGGCGGAUCGUUAAGUGUCUUGUGAAAUCCCACGGCUCACCCGUGGAACUGCUGGGCAUACUGGCGAUCUUGGGCCAACUAGGGGCAGCCGGAACAAGCGGUGGAGCGGUGAAAUGCGUAGAUAUCGCUUGGAACGCCAAAGGUGAAAACAGGCUGCUGGGGUUGUGCCGACGCUGAGACACGAAAGCCAGGGGGAGCAAACGGGG
rnacentral:rRNA from 1 species